GUCACUUAGAACAGUUGCAAUUAUCGCGCAUCCGUCACUUUGCUACAGCUUGGCUAGCCAGCUACAACUGCUCUUUCGCUCUGUUCCUAUUCGCCCUUUCCCCACCCUGGUUAAUGUUUGUUGAUGCUCGGGUUAAUUUCUUUAUUUUUGUUUUAGUUUUGUUUUUUGUUGUUUUGUUUUGGUUGUAUCGGGUUGUUUUUUUAUUUGUUUUUCUUUAUAGGAUACAAUCUAUAGACUACUAUAGAAUGCGUCCUUUUUUCCACUGAUCAUCAGUGUGACAGGUGCUGGAGGUCUGCCUUGGCAGAAUUGUCAUGGCAAACUCCUAUUGCUACUAUAAUUAGCCUUAUUAUUACGUUUUUUGCUGUUUUGCCAUAGCUGUUUGCCAUUGCUGUUUGCCAGUUUUGCCAUUGCCAGUUUGCCAUAAAUGUUUGCCAGUGUUUUGCCUAAUGUUUGCCAUUGCGGUCAUUUGCCUGACAAGGCUAGAUCGCCGACUAGCCUUGGCCACCAACGGCACCUACCUCCAAACUCGGAUACUCUGCCGUUAACGAU
rnacentral:lncRNA from 1 species